CCUACGGGAGGCAGCAGUGGGGAAUAUUGGGCAAUGGGCGCAAGCCUGACCCAGCAACGCCGCGUGAAGGAAGAAGGCUUUCGGGUUGUAAACUUCUUUUAUCAGGGACGAAGCAAGUGACGGUACCUGAUGAAUAAGCCACGUCUAACUACGUGCCAGCAGCCGCGGGAAUACGUAGGUGGCAAGCGUUAUCCGGAUUUACUGGGUGUAAGGGGCGUGUAGGCGGGAGUGCAAGUCAGAUGUGAAAACUAUGGGCUCAACCCAUAGCCUGCAUUUGACACUGUACUUCUUGAGUGCUGGAGAGGUAAUCGGAAUUCGGGGUGUAGCGGUGAAAUGCGUAGAUAUACGGAGGAACACCAGUGGCGAAGGCGGAUUGCUGGACAGUAACUGACGCUGAGGCGCGAAAGCGUGGGGAGCAAACAGGAUUAGAUACCCCUGUAGUC
rnacentral:rRNA from 1 species